GCUCAGGAUGAACGCUGGCGGCGUGCUUAACACAUGCAAGUCGAACGAUGAUCCCAGCUUGCUGGGGGAUUAGUGGCGAACGGGUGAGUAACACGUGAGUAACCUGCCCUUGACUCUGGGAUAAGCCUGGGAAACUGGGUCUAAUACCGGAUACGACCAUCUGGCGCAUGUCAUGGUGGUGGAAAGCUUUUGUGGUUUUGGAUGGACUCGCGGCCUAUCAGCUUGUUGGUGGGGUAAUGGCCUACCAAGGCGACGACGGGUAGCCGGCCUGAGAGGGUGACCGGCCACACUGGGACUGAGACACGGCCCAGACUCCUACGGGAGGCAGCAGUGGGGAAUAUUGCACAAUGGGCGCAAANNNUANGGGCGCAAGCCUGAUGCAGCGACGCCGCGUGAGGGAUGACGGCCUUCGGGUUGUAAACCUCUUUCAGUAGGGAAGAAGCGAAAGUGACGGUACCUGCAGAAGAAGCGCCGGCUAACUACGUGCCAG
rnacentral:rRNA from 1 species